UAGGAGUAUAAUCUUUCCAUAAAAACCUAAUGAAAUUUGUCAUUAUGUUUAGAAAGGGAUACCCUUUUUGGUCAUUUCCUGUAGCUAAUGGACCAAGACUCAUAUGUCUACAUCUAAAGGCACCCCAAACCCCUCGCCCAAAAGCAAAACGGUCAGAGCUCCAAAAAAAAGCCUUCACUUUAAUCAUCACAUCCAAAUCCUCCUCUUGUACACACACUUUUUUCGUUAAAAGCAUCCAGACAGACCACUCCAGUCUCCAAACAAUUACUAAUUAUUUACCAUCCUGUCAUUAGAUAUUAUUGGGCCCCAAUCAACAUGCAAAAUUUCAUGGGUCCACUAAAAUCAUAAGCAGCCCAUGGGCUUUGGUGCAGUGGAUCUGCGAGAGAUAUAAAAUAGUUAAAAUAAUAAUAAUAAUAAUAAUAAUAUGAUGAUGAUGCUACAAAUGUCUCUCAUUAUUAUUCUAUUAUUAUAUACAUUUCUUAUGACUGAUGUCUGGUUAUGUCAUAAUAUACCAUUUGUCUUAUUUCAUUCAAUAAAACUUUGAAAUAUUAG
rnacentral:lncRNA from 1 species